GAACUCGCUGCGCUGGAUGAACUCUGUCCGAGAUUUGCCCGCGCUUCUCCUGCCCAGAAGGCUGCGGGGACGCUCCCGCAACGCUUUGAGCUGUACCCAGUCCCCCUGAGCUGAGGAACCAACAACGGGCGCGGCGGCAUGGUGGAGCUGCGGCCUGGGCAUGGGCCGGUGUCCUUGCGCGGAUUCCGGGCGAUAUAGACUGCGCCUCUGGCAGUCCUUGAGUGGCUCCAGGGAUGCUCUUCCCAAACGUCCCAGCCCUCGGGAGCAGAACUUUCGUCGUGUGCCUGCUUCGACCAUGGCUCUCUGUGUGCAUCCUGGGGGUCGCAUGGGAGGAACACUGCUCUCGGACUGGUGACUCUCUGCUUCUGUUUCUUUGGAGCCGAGCCAUGGAGUCCAGGCUCUGAGCGGCUCCUCCGGCUCCUGGAUCCGCCAAGCAUACUCUCGGGGAGUUGCUGCCCCUAGGCUUGCCUGUGCGUCCUAGGGACGGCGUGGCGCAUUGCAGGGCUAUGGGGCACAGACCCACCAGGACGUGAAAGGGUAGACCUUGCAUGGCCUCAGAUGCCAGCUUGCAAGGCUUGGCGCCCGGGGCUGCUAGGAGCCAGAGUUCACCGCUGGGUGCUGGGUUUUCGGCUCGCUGUCCGCCUGUCCCGCUCUACAUUGCAGAUAGUUUUGGCUGACCUGCGAUAAGGCCCCAGAGAGGGUGUCUGGUGGGUGGGAACAGCCAGGGUCACUCCUUGAGGCUUCGGAGGAGGAGGAACCUAGUGGGGACUGCAUCCCAGCUCUGCAAGAAAGGAGGCUUGGCCUGAUACAGACUGCACCUGUGGAUUCCUUUUCCAAAACUAGACUGAGCUUCCGGUUUAAAGAGCUCCUGUGCUACUUGGAAGCCGGGCUGUUUUAGAAUAUUUCAUAAGUUGGUUUGGGAUGCUGACCUAUGUCUGAUUACUAUCCUAGAAUGUAGAAACAACUAAAUUAAUCUAUUUAUUUAUGAAAAACCAAAGUUGCCUUAAGACCAUUCUGGGGCAGUUUAAUUGUCCAGCUCACCCAGAGAAAGAAGUUAGGUUUUUCUUCAUGUAGGUGUAGAAAGUACCAGAAACCCCACAGAGGGCUCCCAGCUGCCUAUGUUGCCUGGCAGAGGACAGAGCAGCCCUUCCUGCUCCAGACUCUCCACUGUGAUGGAGAUGGUCUGAAUUGACUGGCGAUGACUGCAUCAUUGAAGCACUUUCUCUGAAGGUCUCUCUCUGGUUUUUUACUAGGCAGCUCACAGGAGUGUUCAACCCCGAAUUCUAAUAAGGAU
rnacentral:lncRNA from 1 species